UACGGCUCAGUAACACGUGGAUAACCUGCCCUAAGGAAGGGGAUAACCUCGGGAAACUGAGGGUAAUACCCUAUAGGAUACCGAUGCUGGAAUGCCCGGUAUCCCAAAGCUCCGGCGCCUUAGGAUGGAUCUGCGGCCGAUUAGGUCGUUGUUGGGGUAACGGCCCAACAAGCCGAUAAUCGGUACGGGUUGUGGGAGCAAGAGCCCGGAGUUGGAUUCUGAGACACGAAUCCAGGCCCUACGGGGCGCAGCAGGCGCGAAAACUUUACAAUGCGGGCAACCGUGAUAAGGGAACCUCGAGUGCCUGUACAUGCAGGCUGUCUGGGUGUCUAAAACACACCCAAAGAAAGGGCCGGGCAAGACCGGUGCCAGCCGCCGCGGUAAUACCGGCGGCUCGAGUGGUGGCCACUUUUAUUGGGCUUAAAGCGUUCGUAGCUGGGUUGUUAAGUCUCUUGGGAAAUCUGGCAGCUUAACUGUCAGGCGUCUAAGAGAUACUGGCAAUCUAGGAACCGGGAGAGGUGAGGGGUACUUCGGGGGUAGGAGUGAAAUCCUGUAAUCCUCGAGGGACCACCUGUGGCGAAGGCGCCUCACCAGAACGGCUUCGACAGUGAGGGACGAAAGCUGGGGGAGCAAACCGGAUUAGAUACCCGGGUAGUCCCAGCCGUAAACGAUGCGCGUUAGGUGUUCGAUGACCACGAGUCAUCGAGGUGCCGAGAGGGAAACCGUGAAACGCGCCGCCKGGAAKUAC
rnacentral:rRNA from 1 species